rnacentral:rRNA from 2 species
UCCUACGGGGGGCUGCAGUGGGGAAUAUUGGACAAUGGGCGCAAGCCUGAUCCAGCCAUGCCGCGUGAGUGAUGAAGGCCUUAGGGUUGUAAAGCUCUUUUGUCCGGGAAGAUAAUGACUGUACCGGAAGAAUAAGCCCCGGCUAACUUCGUGCCAGCAGCCGCGGUAAUACGAAGGGGGCUAGCGUUGUUCGGAAUCACUGGGCGUAAAGCGCACGUAGGCGGACCAUUAAGUCAGGGGUGAAAGCCUGGAGCUCAACUCCAGAACUGCCUUUGAUACUGAUGGUCUCGAGUUCGGAAGAGGUUGGUGGAACUGCGAGUGUAGAGGUGAAAUUCGUAGAUAUUCGCAAGAACACCAGUGGCGAAGGCGGCCAACUGGUCCGAUACUGACGCUGAGGUGCGAAAGCGUGGGGAGCAAACAGGAUUAGAUACCCGAGUAGUCCA